rnacentral:rRNA from 1 species
GGUGAAUGCUGGCGGCGUGGAUAAGUCAUGCAAGUCAAGGGGGCCCGCAAGGGCAACCGGCAAACGAGGUAGUAACACGUAGGUAGACCCCCCCAGAGUCGGGCAUAGCCAGCCGAAAGGUUGGGUAAUUCCCGAUAGUCCCGAAAGGGUAAAGGUUUUUCGCUCUGGGAGUUGCCUGCGUAGUAUCAGCUAGUUGGUAGGGUAAUGGCCUACCAAGGCUACGACGCUUAGGGGAGCUGAGAGGCUGUCCCCACCGAUGGAACUGCGACACGGUCCAUACUCCUACGGGAGGCUGCAGACGAGAAAUAUUGGACAAUGAACGAAAA